rnacentral:lncRNA from 1 species
GUCUUGCAUGGAUACAUUUGAGCCUGCAUGUUGCGAUCUGUAUCCAAUGAUUGUAACUUCUGUAUUGUAUCCUUCAAUGAGAAAGGACAGCUCUGGUGUGAGGAGUCCCUCUCCCUUCUCCUAAACUCUUCUACAAAACAGGGGUUUCCAACUUCCGGGAUAAGGACCUGUACCAACUCAUGGCCUGUUAGGAAAUGGGCCACACAGCAGAAGCUCUCCAGGAACACAUCUUUGAAGACAAAAUGCCUCCAAGAUCCCCAGUACUGUAGCUCUUCUCCUGAAGCAACUAUUUCCAGCCUUGAAAGUUAUCAGCUCAGGAGAGGAAGCACUGCA